rnacentral:rRNA from 1 species
GACGAACCGAGCGAACGUUAUUCGGAAUCACUGGGCUUAAAGGGUGCGUAGGCGGGCUGUCAAGUCUGGGGUGAAAUCCGGCAGCUUAACUGUCGAACUGCCUUAGAUACUGAUGGCCUCGAGGAAGGUAGGGGCAUGCGGAACUGUAGGUGGAGCGGUGAAAUGCGUUGAUAUCUACAGGAACACCGGUGGCGAAGGCGGGUCUCUGGGCCGUAACUGACGCUGAGGAGCGAAAGCAUGGGGAGCGAACAGG